rnacentral:lncRNA from 1 species
AUUUUAUUGGAGAAUUUAGGCAAUUUCAAAAGCUAUGCUCCACUGCUGCUUUCUUGCCUGAAUCCUAUUUCUAAGAAGUUUUUGUUAAAAGGACCCCCUUCUUUGUUCCUUGAUGUUCCUGUGGUCCAAGUAGAACUUGCAUCAAGAUCUGCACACUGGGGCUCCCAGAUCCUCCAAAACGAUCAAUGUGCAGCUAUUGUUGUCAGUUCUAUUCAGCACAGGGUGUGCUUCUGCCCUUUCCUCUCCAGUGUGUCCCUUGCUGAGAUCUAUAAUGAAAACUCAGUUACUUCUGCGUUUACUUUGCCAACCAUGCUUCACAGAGAAAUUUCAACUUGGAUUUCAUUUUGAGGUGAAAUUUCACAACGUAUUUCAAAGACGGGGGCCACACUGCGCAGGCAUCUUUUCUCUCAUUCAUAGCACUAGCACGGUGGAGGAAUAGCCUCUUAUGAUCAGAAUGGCCAUCAGGGACAAGUCUAAGGAAAUGUCAACUGGUGAAGUGUGCCCUGUGUUCUCUCCAUUUCCUCUUUCACAAAGGACUAAUAUGGCUUAAUGAUAUCGUUCAUAAAUUUUCGUGGCAUGAGUAUUUGCAGAGAGUUGGAAGAUCUCAUCCAAUCCCAGAACUAACACAAUGAUAACAUGAUAACCA